AUGCAAAGAAGUGUCUUGGCUUUGUCCAUCAUCAUGAAACUUGCUGAAGGGAAGAGAAGACAUGUCUUGCAGGAAGGAGUGUUAAAGAUCCAUUCAGCUGGAAGUUACCUGCAGUGACAUACUGCGAAUGCCUGCUGCCAGUCCACAACCUUUGCAAUGAUGAUUUUAUUUAAAUUCCCAGCUUUAUUUGUC
rnacentral:lncRNA from 1 species